ensembl:lncRNA novel transcript
AUCUACUCUGCACCAAUAGGCAUACUGCAUGCACCGUGUGCACAUCUCCAUGAUCACCCAUGCUGGCAAUGUGUGCUAAACCCGUGCAUGCCUGCCGAGCACACCCACAGAGUGAACACACAUGGGCACACACAUGCACAUACAUAAGAAUGUCACUAUAGUAGCUAACAUUAAUUGAAUGUUUACUACAUGCUAGGGACUUUUCUAUGAAAUACCUUCUCUAGUCCUCACCACAACUCAUGAAAGAGGUAGGAUAAUCAUCUCCAUUUUACAGAUGAGGAAACUGAGGCUCAGAAAGGUUAAGUAACUUGCCCAAGAUCACACAGCUAGAAAGUGACAGAGAUGAGAAGACUGAAUGCAGAGAAGCUCAAGGUCAAAAGCAAGGUCAGCCUGUACUGAGUAUGAGCACACACACAUCCCAUGUUCUAUUUCUUGUGCUCAGUCUGCAAAGCUGGAACAUGUUCCUAAUUCCCACGCACUCUGGCUGAGUGCUCACAUGGAAUGCACGUGUGCCCAUGAGCUCACGUUUACAUCUGAGUG